rnacentral:rRNA from 1 species
CCUACGGGGGGCAGCAGUGAGGAAUAUUGGUCAAUGGGCGAGAGCCUGAACCAGCCAAGUCGCGUGAAGGAUGACGGCCCUAUGGGUUGUAAACCUCUUUUGUCGGGGGGCAAAAGACGCCACGCGUGGCGUUCCGAGAGUACCCGAAGAAAAAGCAUCGGCAAACUCCGUGCCAGCAGCCGCGGUAAUACGGAGGAGGCGAGCGUUAUCCGGAUUUAUUGGGUUUAAGGGGUGCGAAGGCGGAAGAUCAAUUCCGCGGUAAAAUUGAGGGGCUCAACCUCUUCGAGCCGUUGAAACUGGUUUUCUUGAGUGAGUGAGAAGUAUGCGGAAUGCGUGGUGUAGCGGUGAAAUGCAUAGAUAUCACGCAGAACUCCGAUUGCGAAGGCAGCAUACCGGCGCUCAACUGACGCUCAUGCACGAAAGUGUGGGUAUCGAACAGGAUUAGAUACCCGAGUAGUC